rnacentral:lncRNA from 1 species
CUCCACCCCACAACUGCCUCACAAGCAUCCCAGAGUCCAGUCAGCAGACAGCAGAAGAGACUGUCAGCAGACCACCUUGGAGGGGAUGCUUGGAGCUGCCUAACGUGUGAUUCAAAGAUGAAUUCCAUGUGUUUGGAGAAGAAGCCCUAGCCUCAACACAAAGGUUGGCCACAUUCCAGCCAAGGUAGCACGGAGUGAAGGCCCGUGGAGGGAGAGCUGGGCUUUUCUGAACUACUUCAGUACACCUUGCUGUGCCUUGGCCUGCCGUGUUUCAUCCCCAUGGCUGUCCUCAGUGAUGUGCAUGGUCACUGCUCCCUUCACCACUGAGAAGACGGGCACAGGACAGUCAGGGGAUGUGUCCAAGGUCCCACAGCAGGAAGGGCUGGAGCCAGAAUGUGGUCUGAGAGGCUGGAUAUACAAAGAGACAAUGGCAUGACCAUCUGUACAAAUGGAACUAUGGCCCACAACCUGCAGCAGCCAGCCCAGGAAGCCAACCCGUCACCUGCAGCAGCCAGGAUGGAUGCUGGCCUGCCCUCACUGAUACUCAAGUCUAGUUUUAUAUGGCUCCAAACGCCUCCACCAUGAGCUCAAGGCAGUGAGACUGACUGAAAAACCCUCUCUAUUACAGACCACAACAUUGAACCCAACAUCCCCCUAAGUAGGUUGUACUCACAUCAUUGGUCUUAUGGGGAAAUUUUAAGACCUCCCACUUGUAAGGUUUUAUAGCCCUCUAUGGAAUAUUGAAGAAAGAGUAAAAUGCAUCCAAAAAAAAAAAAAAACACUAAACUGGAUAAAUUCUAAGGCCUCUUCAGGUCUUAAGAUGGCCAUUUUCUAGGUCCUCUUGCUGCAGCAGUGAAAUCCACAAACACGGACAAGUCAGUCAGUUACGUGCCUUUCAGAGAAAACUUCUGACUUAGGAAUUCCAGCUAUUUGGCCCAACCCAUAUUAGAUUGUGUUAUAAAGACAUGGUAAAUUACAUCACGAAGGGAAGAGCAGAGGAAACAUAAUAUUCCUUCAAGACCCAUCAGCUCAGAUGUUAGCAGAACACCCCUAAGGAGGAAAACAAGAAAUUUUGGGUUUGAACUUGGUACUUCCCAGCAGCCCUGGGAGUGGGGUCAGAAGCCCUGCUGGGGGCCAAAGAACUCUGAGGAUCAAAGAUGUUGAGCAUCACCUUAGAGGCCAAAGAUCAGAACAGUGGAGGUGGCCUUUGAAGCCCAACCUGUCUUUCACCAGAGAGUGAGAACGGCCUCUAUUUCCAGGAAGCUCACUGCAGCAAUAAUCAUGAUGCUCUGAGCCUGACAAGGUGAGAAUUUACUUUCAGCACCUGCAAUAGUUUCCUAUUAAAGUUACAUAUGAAACCCUGCCGUCUUGUACCAACUAAUGUUCACACCAGCGUUCCUAUUUUCAAGAUAAAUUGCAAAAUAAAAACUCUUGUUUUCGUUAGCAAAAGAAAACUUCUUUAGGAGGAUAAAAGGGAGAUGAAGAAACAGAAAACACAUCAGCUCUCCAUCCAGAUUACAGAAAGCAGAAAACAUCCUGAAGUGAAUAACAUAGGAAUCGCUCUUUUUCCCCCCUGAGAUAGCAGGUUACUUAUGAGAAACAAGCUUGAAAUCUCUGCACCUGGACCAGCUUCCAGAGGCUUUUGUCCUGACCAGCUGGCUUUGGGGAAGUAAAGGAAACCAGAGAAGAAGAGGCUGAAAGAAUUGGUUUCCACCGUGACCUUUGAACCCUCGGGCGAGUUGUCAGCCUCACUGAGGAUGAGUGUACUCCAUAUCAAGUGAGGUCACUUUACUCGCAAGCUUGUUGUGAGGACUGAAUGAAACCUUUUCUUUUUUCUUGGAGUUUCAGAGCAACGUCCCUGAGCCCAGCCCCACACUGGCUUGAGCCCUGUCGUCGGUCAAGACACGGUGCUUUCUCCCCUCCCCUCUGCACUCCAGCUUACUCUGCAGUCAGGAGGUGGCACCACGAUCCCCUUUAAGACUUUGCCACUUGGGCCAGCUGCGCCCCUGUGAAAUUCCCUGUUUCUAUUGCAGGCCACAAGGACGAGCUGAGAAAUGGCUUCCAGUCACCAUCUAGAUUAGAAAGCCUAUAUUUCAAAUAUAGAUAUAUCAAUUAUGCCUGUAAAAAGACAUUAAAUCCCACAGGGCUGUAAUUCCUAGACUCUACGAAUUUCAUCUUGCACCAAAUUUUAUUAUUUCAUUUAUAAUUCGGAUUCUUCAAAUCUAAGAGUGCCUGGCUCAAAAUUAAAAUACCUACAACUAUGCCAAAACUGGACUCUUUAAUUGCCUUACUGGAACCAGUAGCUGAUUCAAAGCAAAACGAAACAAAAUUCCUCCUUUCUCUGAUUUAGUGAAUCAAUGAUCUAACUGAACUCAUUUUUGGACUGAGUUUGCGGCACUUGCAGCCCUGAGGGACACAUUCCCCCACCACACUGAGCCUGCACUCCCAUCAAUGCAAAUGAACAUUUUGCUUAUUCAGAUUGGGGGGGUGAAGGAAGUCACAAAAGGGUUAAUACAUAUGGCAUUUCAUUGUAAUAUGUACUCACUACUAACUAAAUUAAAAGAGAUGUGAGUUAUUAAAAACUCCAUCUUAAGAAAGUAACAGAAAUCAGAGUUCAGAUUCGUUGUUACUGAGUUUCCAACCAACACCUGUGAGUUAAACCUACGGCCACCCUGAAAACGGUUCAUAUUUUCAAAAGCUUCAUCGAAGAUGAGCUGCACUAAAGAUUCAUAUUACAUAUCAUGCUGCAAUAAGAAAAUCAAAUAAGGCCUUUCCAUAUUCAAUAAUAAAGUUUAAAGAAAAGUAAUAUUUGUUUAGCCAGUUAGCCAGAAAUUAGAUGUAUCAGAAUACAUCAUUCUUUGAGCAUUUUAGAAAAAUCAGGGUAUUUCUACAUUGUGUUUUUCUUUGUAAGCCCUCAAAAAAUAUAGAGAAUAUUCUUGAAAUUAUAGUGUUUGUCUUCUGGAACAAAAAAUACUAAUCAAGGAAAUCUACAAAUUUAAUGGUUUAUUGAGUUUCCACAGGAAACACUGUGUGAGGAGGCUGAGGCUUAGAAGUUCA